CUUAAAACCCUUUCCUUUCCACUCGUUUUGGUCUAUUUCGCAAUAGUUUUUUUCUUUAUCCCUAGAAUUUCUUUUGGCUCUUUGGAGCCCGUAGAUGCAGCAGAUUUUGAGGGAUUUCUAAGUCAUCCACAACAGGUUUUGGAGAGGGAUUUGCAGGUUAAUAGUAGCAAGUACUGCUUCCUUUGUAGGUAUGGGGUUAGGGUUUCCUUUGGAUGAUUGGUGCAAGGUCCAAAAGCUGACUGUUUGGUGCAGGGGAUUUCUGCUCGUUUUCCUUGUUUUGCUUUGAAUCCGAGAGAUGGGAAGUUGGGUUAUUUUGCGGGUGAGUGAAGCUGUGUUGGUUUCUUGUGUUCACUGGAAUUUCAGAACAGUGUUGGGCAUGUCGAAUUGAUUUUUGAGGUUGUGCUGGUUUUCCUGUGUUGCUGGAAUUUCAGAACAGUUAUGGGUGAAGGAACUGACGAUGUAGGAGGCUCGGGCUCUUGAUCGGACCGGGUUGGAUAGUACAUUUCCAAGGACCUUACAAUUCUACUUUAAGAAUGAAUAAACAGUGAUUAUGAUCAAGAAGGAAUAAAGUAGUAUCAAGUAUAGCUGUUAUAAGAUGGUUGUCAAAGUUUACGAACUUUUCUUUCUUUCAUGGUACCUGUAAUGGAUUUGAGUGUAGGAGUAUGGUUUAUAAAUUGCAGACAAUACUUCUUAUUUUUAUUGGAUAUGUAAAAAAGAAAUUGGGUCAUUUCAUACA